GUGUAAAAAAAAAGGCAAUAGUUGGAAGCCUCAUUUCUCCUCUGUCCUCAUUUUGAGAUCCUUGCCUCAAACCCUAGUAUUCCGCCUCUCUCUCUCUCUCUCUCUCAGCAAAUCACCACCUUCAAUUGCCUCAAACCUCCGACUAACUUCAGCCGCCACCGUCGACGACGGCCGCCCAUGGAAUCCAUGCCGCCUUCGGAUGAGAAUGGUUGGGUGAAUCCUCGUCGGCCCUUAAAUCGCCCUCCCGUUGAUUUAAUCCUUAAGAAUCUCCGACCUCCACCUCGUAAUCCCUCUCCGAUCUCCACCUCAAAGUCGAAAGAAACUCCGAUCCCCACCUCCAAGACCGAAGAAACUCCGAUCUGUAUGUUUUCGCCGUAUCCCUCUUCGAUCUCCACUAAUCACCCGAGAUAUGGCCGUCUCCGCCGCCCCCCCACCGCGAUGACCGACGAGAGCGGAGGGCUCGCCGGCGGCGGACGGCUCGUCGAUGGCAGAGAUCUCUGUAAAUCUGCCGGUGGAUCUCUCAGUAAAUCUUCCACCGAUCCUUACUGGAUUCGUGGUGGAUCUUAUGGCUGGAGCGCCGAUUUUGAUUGGGAAUCCGACGAUGAUAUGUCUUCGAUGGAAAAUGAGGAAGACUUGGUGGAUCCUUACUUUCCUUUCCCGAAGGAAGGUGAGACCUGGGAUGCGGCCGUCGAAGAGGCUGAGCGGCAGAUGAAGGAGGAGGGUUUGUAUUCUGUUGGUAUUGCUGAUUGAUGGAACCAUUUUUCGUCAAUAUGCACGGUGUUGUGCAUAUUGCGAAAUCUGAAUACGUCAAGGAUUCUAUCAAGCUCUAAAGCUCCAAGGGCAAACCUCAACCUUAACAGCUUGUUGGGGGCUGUUAAGUUGGGUUUUAUGGCUGAUGUGUGAGUUCGAAUUGCUCCAGUGCGCACCCAUCUGCCCACUGUACUCUUGCUUUGUCCUAAACCCUUUGCUAAAGUUCGUAUACUGCCUCUCUUUGAUAACUGUAUACUGCUUCCCAUAGCCGGUAAACAGUUGAACGGGAGAUCGAGAAUUUCUCGAUGGCUUGAUGCUUCUUUCCACGAAGGGGCUUCCCAUUCACACUUCCUUCAAGAAGAUAUUGCACAAUUUCAUUUCUUUUUGGGGUGGAUAGAUCCUUGAUCACCACCAUUUUUGCCUCGUUUGAAACUGAAAUUGUUGAAGCUCCACUUUGAAGGGUACUUGCUGUCCGAUUCUUAUUUAUAGAAUAGGAUUUUAAUUUUUGGUGGGAAGUUCAAAAUUUUUAGCUUUGGAGCGGAAAUUAUGUAUGUUGGCAGACUUUCACUUUAAUGAAAUGAAGUUUUUGAUAUGCAUA